AGAUUGAACGCUGGCGGCAGGCCUAACACAUGCAAGUCGAGCGGCAGCACGGGUACUUGUACCUGGUGGCGAGCGGCGGACGGGUGAGCAAUGCCUAGGAAUCUGCCUGGUAGUGGGGGAUAACGCUCGGAAACGGACGCUAAUACCGCAUACGUCCUACGGGAGAAAGCAGGGGACCUUCGGGCCUUGCGCUAUCAGAUGAGCCUAGGUCGGAUUAGCUAGUUGGUGAGGUAAUGGCUCACCAAGGCGACGAUCCGUAACUGGUCUGAGAGGAUGAUCAGUCACACUGGAACUGAGACACGGUCCAGACUCCGUACGGAGGCAGCAGUGGGGAAUAUUGGACAAGUGGGCGAAAGCCUGAUCCAGCCAUGCCGCGUGUGUGAAGAAGUCUUCGGAUUGUAAAGCACUUUAAGUGGGAGAAGGCAGUUACCUAAUACGUAUCUUGUUU
rnacentral:rRNA from 1 species